AAGUCUGGUGCCAGCAGCCGCGGUAAUUCCAGCUCCAAUAGCGUAUAUUAAAAUUGUUGCGGUUAAAACGCUCGUAGUUGGAUAUCUGUGAGCGAAGUCCGGUCCUUCCCAGUGAAGAUUACACGGAGAUCUGCUCGCAUUCGUUCAGGGAAGGUGGAUGCACUUCAUUGUGCGUCCGCAUGAUCUGAAUCUUUACUUUGAGGAGAUAAGAGUGUUCCAAGCAGGCAAACGCCGUGAAUAUGAUAGCAUGGAAUAAUAGCACAGGACUCUGGGUUCAAUGCUGUUGGUAAGUUGAACUAGAGUAAUCAAAAUA
rnacentral:rRNA from 1 species